rfam:Prevotella salivae DSM 15606 genomic scaffold SCAFFOLD1, whole genome shotgun sequence.
GGUUGUGUCGGUUUGAUCGGGAUACUCAUCAAAUAAAUUCGAAAACCGAGAAUGCUUCUCUUGUUAAUGGCGGGCCACAUAAAUUCCUUCGGAACUAAGCCUUAAGGCCAGUGGAUUACAAAGACGGAGAGCACUCAACUAUUGAAAUGCUCGGAGUUUCAUCACAUCAUCGAGCAACCCCUUUU